rnacentral:rRNA from 1 species
GAUGAACGCUGGCGGCGCGCCUAAUACAUGCAAGUCGAGCGAACGGACGAGAAGCUUGCUUCUCUGAUGUUAGCGGCGGACGGGUGAGUAACACGUGGAUAACCUACCUAUAAGACUGGGAUAACUUCGGGAAACCGGAGCUAAUACCGGAUGAUAUUUUGAACCGCAUGGUUCAAAAGUGAAAGACGGUCUUGCUGUCACUUAUAGAUGGAUCCGCGCUGCAUUAGCUAGUUGGUAAGGUAACGGCUUACCAAGGCAACGAUGCAUAGCCGACCUGAGAGGGUGAUCGGCCCCACUGGAACUGAGACACGGUCCAGACUCCUACGGGAGGCAGCAGUAGGGAAUCUUCCGCAAUGGGCGAAAGCCUGACGGAGCAACGCCGCGUGAGUGAUGAAGGUCUUCGGAUCGUAAAACUCUGUUAUUAGGGAAGAACAUAUGUGUAAGUAACUGUGCACAUCUUGACGGUACCUAAUCAGAAAGCCACGGCUAACUACGUGCCAGCAGCCGCGGUAAUACGUAGGUGGCAAGCGUUAUCCGGAAUUAUUGGGCGUAAAGCGCGCGUAGGCGGUUUUUUAAGUCUGAUGUGAAAGCCCACGGCUCAACCGUGGAGGGUCAUUGGAAACUGGAAAACUUGAGUGCAGAAGAGGAAAGUGGAAUUCCAUGUGUAGCGGUGAAAUGCGCAGAGAUAUGGAGGAACACCAGUGGCGAAGGCGACUUUCUGGUCUGUAACUGACGCUGAUGUGCGAAAGCGUGGGGAUCAAACAGGAUUAGAUACCCUGGUAGUCCACGCCGUAAACGAUGAGUGCUAAGUGUUAGGGGGUUUCCGCCCCUUAGUGCUGCAGCUAACGCAUUAAGCACUCCGCCUGGGGAGUACGACCGCAAGGUUGAAACUCAAAGGAAUUGACGGGGACCCGCACAAGCGGUGGAGCAUGUGGUUUAAUUCGAAGCAACGCGAAGAACCUUACCAAAUCUUGACAUCCUUUGACAACUCUAGAGAUAGAGCCUUCCCCUUCGGGGGACAAAGUGACAGGUGGUGCAUGGUUGUCGUCAGCUCGUGUCGUGAGAUGUUGGGUUAAGUCCCGCAACGAGCGCAACCCUUAAGCUUAGUUGCCAUCAUUAAGUUGGGCACUCUAAGUUGACUGCCGGUGACAAACCGGAGGAAGGUGGGGAUGACGUCAAAUCAUCAUGCCCCUUAUGAUUUGGGCUACACACGUGCUACAAUGGACAAUACAAAGGGCAGCGAAACCGCGAGGUCAAGCAAAUCCCAUAAAGUUGUUCUCAGUUCGGAUUGUAGUCUGCAACUCGACUACAUGAAGCUGGAAUCGCUAGUAAUCGUAGAUCAGCAUGCUACGGUGAAUACGUUCCCGGGUCU